rnacentral:rRNA from 1 species
GUGUAGCAGCCGCGGUAAUACGUAGGUGGCAAGCGUUAUCCGGAAUUAUUGGGCGUAAAGCGCGCGCAGGUGGUUUCUUAAGUCUGAUGUGAAAGCCCACGGCUCAACCGUGGAGGGUCAUUGGAAACUGGGGAACUUGAGUGCAGAAGAGGAGAGCGGAAUUCCACGUGUAGCGGUGAAAUGCGUAGAUAUGUGGAGGAACACCAGUGGCGAAGGCGGCUCUCUGGUCUGUAACUGACGCUGAGGCGCGAAAGCAUGGGUAGCGAACAGGAUUAGAAACCCCGGUAGUCC